rnacentral:rRNA from 1 species
CUACGUGCCAGCAGCCGCGGUAAUACGUAGGGUGCGAGCGUUAAUCGGAAUUACUGGGCGUAAAGCGAGCGCAGACGGUUACUUAAGCAGGAUGUGAAAUCCCCGGGCUCAACCUGGGAACUGCGUUCUGAACUGGGUGACUAGAGUGUGUCAGAGGGAGGUAGAAUUCCACGUGUAGCAGUGAAAUGCGUAGAGAUGUGGAGGAAUACCGAUGGCGAAGGCAGCCUCCUGGGAUAACACUGACGUUCAUGCUCGAAAGCGUGGGUAGCAAACAGGAUUAGAUACCCUGGUAGUCCACGCUGUAAACGAUGUCAAUUAGCUGUUGGGCAACUUGAUUGCUUAGUAGCGUAGCUAACGCGUGAAAUUGACCGCCUGGGGAGUACGGUCGCAAGAUUGAAACUCAAAGGAAUUGACGGGGACCCGCACAAGCGGUGGAUGAUGUGGAUUAAUUCGAUGCAACGCGAAGAACCUUACCUGGUCUUGACAU